CCAAUACACACCUAUUAGUGAUUCUUUCAUCGAGAGUUAAUGGAAAAGGUUGGAAAUUCCGUGGAGUCUAAGUUUUCUCGAUUCUAAUCAAUGGUUGAUGGUAACAUUGGUGAUAAUAGGUAAAUUCCAAGAUUGAGUACUAUCUGAUUGAACCAUCAAAUGUAUCGGCGCCGAGACUGCAAGAGUACUUGCAA